CACCCUACAUUUUUCAGCUAAUAUCCAUAGAUGAAUUAAGAAUCACUAUGCAGGUGCUGGAUGUACUUAUAAUUGCAGAUACACAACAAGCCCAGCAUCAGAAAUUCCUUCUGCAAAGUGUCUUUGCAGACAUUCCACAUGCACUGUGGUAUCAGAUAUACCAGAGCUGUUUCCAGGAGGGUGGUUAACCUGACAAAUGAAAAAUCAUCCUGUUUUGCAACAUCCUGCUUUGGUUACACAGAAAUUCUUCAGAAAAGACUUCAGAAAAUCCAGGAGCUGAACUCAGUCUCCUGGCUAUCAUUUCUGCCUAUCAUCACAGGAUUUAGCCUUCUGCCAAGAAUAGAAGUGAAUCACUUUUCUUAGGAAUGGUAUGCUGUUGACAAGGCAGUGACAGUUACAAAUGCUGUAGCAACCCACUUUCUCCUCGGGGAAAACAAGAAACUUCUAUUUAAAGAGUACACACUCCUGGAAUAAGAGCCUAAUGGAUUCUAUACCUUCUACGACUCAUCACAGAGUGGGAAUAUCUGCUUUCCAAAGAUCCUCCUCCAAAGAGAAAGGGAGAUCAUAGAAUCGUAGAAUCAUAGAAUCAGUCAGGUUGGAAAAGACCUUAAAGAUCAUCGAGUCCAACCAUGCCCUAACCAUACUAACCUAACUAACAACCCUCCACUAAAUCAUGUCCCUGAGCACCACAUCCAAAUGGUUUUCAAACACAUCCAGGGAUGGGGAUUCAACCACCUCCCUGGGGAGCCUAUUCCAGUGUUUAACAACCCUUUCUGUAAAGAAUUGUUUCCUAAUAUCCAACCUAAACUUACCCUGGUGCAACUUGAGGCCAUUCCCCCUUGUCCUGUCACCUGUUAGCAGUGAGAAGGGACCAACCCUGCUCUUGCUGUAAGCACCUCUCAGAUGUUGGAAGAGAUCAAUAAGGUCUCCCCUCAACCUCCUCUUCCCCAGACUAAACAGUCCCAGUUCUUUAGUCGCAGCUCAUAGGGCAUAUUCUCCAAGCACUUCACAAGCCUUGCUGCUUUUCUUUGGACCUGCUCCAGCACCUCCAUGUCCUUUCUGUACUGAGGUGCCCAAAACUGAACAAAGAACUUGAGGUGAGGCCUCACCAGUGCCAAGUACAGGGGCAGGAUGACUUCCCUAGUCCUGCUCACCACACCAUUCCUAAUACAAGCCAGGAUGCCAUUGGCCUUCUUGGCCACCCGGGCACACUGCUGGCUCAUAUUCUACUGACUGUCCAUCAGUACACCAAGGUCCCUUUCCAUCAGGCAGCUUUCCAGCCACACCUCCCCAAGCCUGUAGGGUUACCUGAGGUUCUUGUGACUAAAAUGUAGGACCUGACACCUACUCCUAUUGAAACUCAUGCCGUUAACCUCGGCCCAUUGAUCCAGUCUAUCCAGGUCCCUCUGUAGUGCCCUUCUCCCCUCUGGCAGAUCAACACUCCCUCCCAACUUGUUGUUGUCUGCAAACUUACUGAGGGUGCACUCAAUCCCCUCAUCAAGAUCAUUAAUAAAGAUGUUAAACAGAAGCAGCCUCAGUACCGAGCCCUGGGGGACACCGGUCGUGACCAACCACCAGCUGGAUUUAACUUCAUUGACAACUCUUUGGGCCUGGCCAUUCAGCCAGUGUUUCACCCAGUGGAGUGUAUGUCCAUCUUAACAGUGGGCAGCCAGCUUCUCCAUGAGAAUGUUGUGGGAGACAGCGUCAAAGGCCUUACUGAAGUCCAGAUAUGAUCAAAAAUCAUACAGGAAUUUCCCCCAGAUGAAAUUGGCUUUCUUGGCUUUUAAGAAUGACACUGAUGUUAGCAACUGGUUUCAGAUUUCUAUGUGGCAAGCAGAACACCCAGGCCCCU
ensembl:lncRNA